ncrna:unclassified sequences manA RNA
UGUGCCUGAUCAGCACAUCGGGAGUGACUGAAUAAACUUACUGGCAUAUAGCUGGUUAAGGUGAUGCGACAGGGGUGGUGCCCGCUGCUGGGAACAGUAGAAUCGAAAACCAAUCGGGUCGUAGGCUGAGGUGUAUUUCUAAACUGUAGAAAUGCCCGCCUCUUGUUGGUACACAGGAAUCCAACCUCCCUCUUC